rnacentral:tRNA from 1 species
GCCUCUGUGCCUCAGCAGCCACAGGGCGAGUUUCGUAAACUCGUAUUCGUCGGUGCGAGUCCGACCAGAGGCUCCA